rnacentral:rRNA from 1 species
UACAUGUGGGGCAAGCGUUGUUCGGAAUUACUGGGCAUAAAGGGCGCGUAGGCGGCAUGCCAAGUCAGGGGUGAAAGGUUUCGGCCCAACCGGGACAGUGCCUUUGAUACUGGCGUGCUUGAGUGCGUGAGGGGUGACUGGAACGAGUGGUGUAGCGGUGAAAUGCGUAGAUAUCACGCGGAAGGCCAACGGCGAAGGCAGGUCACUGGUACGCAACUGACGCUGAGGCACGAAAGCGUGGGGAGCAAACAGG